rnacentral:rRNA from 1 species
CGUCCAGACUCCUACGGGAGGCAGCAGUGGGGGAUAUUGCACAAUGGGGGGAACCCUGAUGCAGCGACGCCGCGUGGGUGAAGAAGCGCCUCGGCGCGUAAAGCCCUGUCAGCAGGGAAGAAAAUGACGGUACCUGAAGAAGAAGCCCCGGCUAACUACGUGCCAGCAGCCGCGGUAAUACGUAGGUGGCAAGCGUUAUCCGGAUUUACUGGGUGUAAAGGGCGUGUAGGCGGGACUGCAAGUCAGAUGUGAAAACCACGGGCUCAACCUGUGGCCUGCAUUUGAAACUGUAGUUCUUGAGUACUGGAGAGGCAGACGGAAUUCCUAGUGUAGCGGUGGAAUGCGUAGAUAUUAGGAGGAACAUCAGUGGCGAAGGCGACUUUCUGGACUGUAACUGACGCUGAGGCACGAAAGUGUGGGGAGCAAACAGGAUUAGAUACCCGGGUA